rnacentral:lncRNA from 1 species
UGCAAACCAAAACAUAGAGAGCAAAUUAACGAAGAGAGAGACAGAGACAUAUAGUGAUGAAGUGUUCUUCACUAUUACCUCAACUGGUCAUUCUGCUUUUGCUGAUUUGCGUCUUCCCUUGCCACAAUGUAACGUUUCAGUGUUUCUAAUAAAAGGUUUUAUCUAUCUUAUCAUUUUUAAAGUACAUUUCUUACUAAAAUCUAUUUUACAUUCCCAUUUCGAAGAAUAAUAGAUAAAGAAAAUAAUGAGAAUUAUUCCCUAUCAAUAUACUCAGAGAACUGAUAAGUCUGUAUUUCAUUGCUUUUUGAGUAUGCAUUCAUCAUCUAUUCAGCAUCAUUCACUUGUUGAUUCGCAUCAUAUUGAUCCCUUUCUGCAUGUUUUACAUACUUAGGUAGGUUUUAUGCAUAUCAUGCAUAUGAUGCAUAUCUUGCAUACAUUGUGCAUAUUUGGAGUGUUUCAGGUACUUAGGAGACAUGCAGGGCGAAGCAGAGGAACAAGCGUUACUCGACAUGCACACGAUCGAGUGGGACGAUCGAGUGAGAAGCAUGGAUGCGUUGCAGUUAUAUUGACGUUCGAGUGAGCAGCAGACGUAUACGAUCGAGUGGCAGAUCGAGCAGAAGGGAAGCGAAGCAGAACUACCUGUCACUNN